UGUACUCGUACGAAGGUGUCCAAGUGGCGAACGGGUGAGUAACACGUAGGUAACCUGCCCCAAAGAGAGGGACAACCCCGGGAAACUGGGGCUAAUACCUCAUGUGCUCUUCAGGAUUAGAUGCCUGUUGAGGAAAGGAGGCAAUCCGCUUUGGGAGGGGCCUGCGGCCCAUCAGCUAGUUGGUAGGGUAAUGGCCUACCAAGGCGAUGACGGGUAGGGGGCCUGAGAGGGUGGUCCCCCACAAUGGCACUGAAACACGGGCCAUACGUCUACGGACGGCAGCAGUAGGGAAUAUUGCACAAUGGGCGAAAGCCUGAUGCAGCAACGCCGCGUGCGCGAUGAAGGCCUUCGGGUUGUAAAGCGCUUUUCUGGGGGAUGAGGAAGGACGGUACCCCAGGAAUAAGUCUCGGCUAACUACGUG
rnacentral:rRNA from 1 species